rnacentral:misc_RNA from 1 species
GUGAAUCAUCGAAUCUUUGAACGCACAUUGCGCCCGCCAGUAUUCUGGCGGGCAUGCCUGUCUGAGCGUCAUUUCAACCCUCAAGCAACUUCUGCUUGGUGUUGGGGAUCGGCCGUUAAACGCCGCCCCCGAAAUCUAUUGGCGAUCUCGCUGUAGCUUCCUAUGCGUAGUAGUAACAUCUCGCAUCUGGAGAGCGGCGCGGUCAUGCCGUAAAACACCCAACUUCUCAGGUUGACCUCAGAUCAGGUAGGAAUACCCGCUGAACUUAAGCAUAUCAAUAAGCGGAGGA